rnacentral:rRNA from 1 species
AGAGCAUAGGGUGGAUGCCUAGGCACUGAGAGCCGACGAAAGACGUGAUAAGCUGCGAUAAGCUGCGGUAAGGAGCAAAUAUCCAUUGACCCGCAGAUUUCUGAAUGGGGAAACCUACGCAAGAAGACCUUGCGUACUCAUACAUGAAUACAUAGUGUAUGAGAGGGAACCCGGGGAACUGAAACAUCUAAGUACCCGGAGGAAGAGAAAGAAACAUCGAUUUCCUGAGUAGCGGCGAGCGAAAGGGAAAGAGCCCAAACCAGAGGAUUUAUCCUCUGGGGUUAGGACUGCAUAAUUGAUCUGCAAUUGAUAGGAGAACGGUCUGGGAAGUCCGGCGAGAAAGCGUGAAAGCCGCGUAUCCGAAAUCGAAAGCAGCAAGGCAGGAUCCAGAGUACCACGAGACACGAGAAACCUUGUGGGAAUGAGCGGAGACCACUCCGUAAGGCUAAAUACUACUCAGUGACCGAUAGCGCAUAGUACUGUGAAGGAAAGGUGAAAAGGACCCCGGGAGGGGAGUGAAAGAGAACCUGAAACCCUGUGUUUACAAGCUGUGGAAGAUCUUUAUAUGAUCAACCGCGUACUUUUUGUAGAACGGUCCGGCGAGUUACGCGUACUGGCGAGGUUAAGCACUUCAGGUGUGGAGCCGAAGCGAAAGCGAGUUUUAAUAGGGCGUUAAGUCAGUACGAGUAGACCCGAAACCGGGUGAUCUAUCCAUGUCCAGGUUGAAGUUGUCGUAAAAGACAAUGGAGGACCGAAGCCACAUCCGUUGAAAAGGGUGGGCAUGAGGUGUGGAUAGGGGAGAAAUUCCAAUCGAACCCGGAGAUAGCUGGUUCUCCUCGAAAUAGCUUUAGGGCUAGCCUCUGGUUAGUCUGCCGCAGGUAGAGCACUGAAUUUCCUAGGGGGCGUCAAAGCCUACCGAAGAAUAUCAAACUGCGAAUGGCGGACAGAUGAUGCCAGGGAGUCAGACUGCACGAGAUAAGUUGGGUGGUCAAAAGGGAAAGAGCCCAGACCUACAGCUAAGGUCCCAAAGUGUGUGUUAAGUGGAAAAGGAUGUGGGAUUUCGAAGACAACUAGGAUGUUGGCUCAGAAGCAGCCACACAUUAAAAGAGUGCGUAAUAGCUCACUAGUCGAGAGGUCCUGCGCCGAAAAUGUCCGGGGCUAAAACACAACACCGAAGCUUAGGAAUUCUAAUGAAUUGGUAGAGGAGCAUUGAAGACGGAACGAAGCCAUACCGAAAGGAAUGGUGGACUGUCUUGAAGAGAGAAUGCCGGAAUGAGUAGCGAGAUUGAAGUGAGAAUCUUCAAGGCCGAAUAUCUAAGGUUUCCAGGGUAAAGCUGAUCUGCCCUGGGUAAGUCGGGGCCUAAGGCAAGGUCGAAAGACGUAGUCGAUGGAUAACAGGUUGAAAUUCCUGUACUGCAUCAAAUCAGAAAUGUGGGGACACAUGAGGGAAGCAUGAGCCGGAAAAGGAAAGUCCGGUACAAGCGCAGCAGAGGACAGAUAGGCAAAACCGUCUGUCAACUCGAGGGCGUGAUGUGGAGCGAACCAAAGUAGCGAAGCAUGUGGAGCUUGUGUCGAGAAAAGCCGCUAUUGUGUUUGAUGUACCCGUACCGUAAACCGACACAGGUGGAUGAGGAGAGAAUCCUAAGGCCGGCGGGAGAAGCAUUGUUAAGGAACUCGGCAAAAUGACCCCGUAACUUCGGGAGAAGGGGUGCUCCAGAGAUGGAGCCGCAGAGAACUGGCCCAAGCAACUGUUUAGCAAAAACACAGGUCUAUGCAAAACCGAAAGGUGAGGUAUAUGGGCUGACGCCUGCCCGGUGCUGGAAGGUUAAGAGGAGAGGUUAGAGCAAUCGAAGCUUUGAAUUUAAGCCCCAGUAAACGGCGGCCGUAACUAUAACGGUCCUAAGGUAGCGAAAUUCCUUGUCGGGUAAGUUCCGACCCGCACGAAAGGCGUAAUGAUUUGGGCACUGUCUCGACAAUGCACCCGGUGAAAUUGAAAUACCAGUGAAGAUGCUGGUUACCUGCGCCAGGACGGAAAGACCCCAUGGAGCUUUACUCCAGUUUGAUACUGGGAUUCGGUAAUGCAUGUACAGGAUAGGUGGGAGGCUGAGAAAGGAGAACGCCAGUUUUCCUGGAGCCGGUGUUGGGAUACCACCCUUGCGUUACUGGGUUUCUAACCUGCAGCCGUGACCCGGCUGGGGGACAAUGUCAGACGGGGAGUUUGACUGGGGCGGUCGCCUCCGAAAGGGUAUCGGAGGCGCUCAAAGGUUCCCUCAGGAUGGUUGGAAACCAUCCAAAGAGUGCAAAGGCAGAAGGGAGCUUGACUGCGAGAGCGACGGUUCGAGCAGGUACGAAAGUAGGACUUAGUGAUCCGGUGGCAUAAAGUGGGAUUGCCAUCGCUCAACGGAUAAAAGCUACCCUGGGGAUAACAGGCUUAUCACUCCCAAGAGUCGGACCACUUGGAAAAGCUACAGUUCUUCCGGCAUCCGAAGGAUAUGAAAAUACCUUUGGUACUGGAGGCACCACAGAUGCAUUAAGAGAAGCGUUCUAUGGAGGCGCUGUCAAACUUAUCGCUGUUCGAGUAGGAAACGGUGGUACGGUUGGCAGCGCCUCUCUUGCUUGUGCAACAGGCAAGGCAAAGCUUUCAACAAAAUAUCCAAGCGGUGCAAAAUUUACAGCAACAAUCAGAGAGAAGCUUGG